rnacentral:rRNA from 1 species
GACGAACGCUGGCGGCGUGCCUAAUACAUGCAAGUAGAACGCUGAAGAGAGGAGCUUGCUCUUCUUGGAUGAGUUGCGAACGGGUGAGUAACGCGUAGGUAACCUGCCUGGUAGCGGGGGAUAACUAUUGGAAACGAUAGCUAAUACCGCAUAAAAUGGAUUAUCGCAUGAUAAUCCAUUGAAAGGUGCAACUGCAUCACUACCAGAUGGACCUGCGUUGUAUUAGCUAGUUGGUGGGGUAACGGCUCACCAAGGCGACGAUACAUAGCCGACCUGAGAGGGUGAUCGGCCACACUGGGACUGAGACACGGCCCAGACUCCUACGGGAGGCAGCAGUAGGGAAUCUUCGGCAAUGGACGGAAGUCUGACCGAGCAACGCCGCGUGAGUGAAGAAGGUUUUCGGAUCGUAAAGCUCUGUUGUAAGAGAAGAACGAGUGUGAGAGUGGAAAGUUCACACUGUGACGGUAUCUUACCAGAAAGGGACGGCUAACUACGUG